rnacentral:lncRNA from 1 species
CAGUUGGUCAGUGGGUCGCUCUGGUCAGUUGGUGAGUUGGUCACUCUGUGGUCAGUGGUCACUCAGUGGUCACUCAGUGGUCACUCGGUGGUCAGUUGGUCACUCAGUGGUCACUCUGUGGUCAGUGGUCACUCAGUGGUCACUCAGUGGUCACUCGGUGGUCAGUUGGUCAGUGGUCACUCUGUGGUCAGUGGUCACUCAGUGGUCACUCGGUGGUCACUCGGUGGUCAGUGGUCACUCAGUUGGUCACUCGGUGGUCAGUUGGUCAGUUGGUCACUCUGUCCGCAGCACCAUCACGCCGGUGGUGGGGAAGAAGCGCAAGCGCAACGCCGGUCAGAGUGACCGCAGCGCUCAAUGGUCACUCUGUGGACAGUGGUCACUCAGUGGUCACUCGGUGGUCAGUUGGUCAGUUGGUCACUCUGUCCGCAGCACCAUCACGCCGGUGGUGGGGAAGAAGCGCAAGCGCAACGUCUCCUCGGACAAUUCCGACUCGGAGGCGCUGCCGGCCCCGUCCCCGCGCCGCGACGACGACGCCACCGUGCAGAAGCGGCGCUCGAACCGCCAGGUGAAGCGCAAGAAGUACACGGAGGACCUGGACAUCAAGAUCACGGACGACGAGGAGGACGAGGAGCUCGACGUCACCGGGCCGGCGCGGCCCGAGCAGCCGCCGGCGCCGCCGCCGCCCGAGCCCGACGGCGCCGAGGCGCUGCCCUCCAUGCAGUUCUUCGUGGUGGGUGCCCGUCCUCAUCUUCAUCUUCAUCUUCAUCCUGUUCUUCAUGUUCUUCUUGGUGGUCUUCAUCUCCAUCAGCUUCAUGGUGUUCUUUGUGUUCUUCAUCUUCAUGGUCUUUGUGUUCCCGAGGCGCUGCCCUCCAUGCAGUUCUUCGUGGUGGGUGCCCAUCUUCAUCUUCCUCAUCUUCAUCCUGUUCUUCAUGUUCUUCUUGGUGGUCUUCAUCUCCAUCAUCUUCAUGUUCUUCAUCUUCUUCAUGGUCUUUGUGUUCCUGAGGCGCUGCCCUCCAUGCAGUUCUUUGUGGUGGGUGCCCAUCCUCAUCUUCAUCUUCAUCUUCAUCUUCAUCUUCAUCUUCAUCUUCAUCUUCAUCUUCAUCUUCAUCUUCAUGUUCUUCUUGGUGGUCUUCAUCUCCAUCAUCUUCAUGU